rnacentral:rRNA from 1 species
GGGUUGUGAGGUUAAGCGACCAAGCGUACACGGUGGAUGCCCUGGCAGUCAGAGGCGAUGAAGGACGUGCUAAUCUGCGAAAAGCGCCGGUAAGGUGAUAUGAACCGUUAUAGCCGGCGAUGUCC